GAUUAUGUAUACAAAAUACUAUGAUCAUGUUGAAACAUACUAAUCCAGACAUUAAAAAGUAUUAUCACUGUGUUCAAAAUAUACUAACAUAAAAUUGGAAAAUAUUUGGCAGGGCUGCCAUUAACUCUAGCAACAAAGUGCAAAAACAUAAAUUUGUUUCGCAAUCCUAUUCUUUCCCUUAGACUCCACCACUGAUUCGAUCAAUUCGUUGAAGUUCGACUUCUCCGCAGCAACCGGCGCUUCCUUCACCACCAUAUCGGAAAUCCCGUUCCACAGAUCCUCCACCACCACAGAUCGACUUCAAAUCAGAGAUCGAUGACUCCAAAUUAGAGAUCGACGUCGAAGAAAGGCGUACUACUGAUCAAGUUAGCAUCCUAAAAUCCACAAACAGAAAUAAGAAAAGCACCGAUCUAGUUAACAACAUCGUCUACGAAAUCUAAGAUUGUAGUGAAUUCAAACCUUGAGUGAGGAGGAAGGACGAAGAUGGAGCGGAGAUCGCAGGCCUUGUUGAUCUUCAUCUUCAUUUUGCUUCGGAUCGGCGAGUUAUAGGUUUGAGAGGUACGGUCGAAGAUUGAUCUGCAACGGAGGUGAAUCCACCGAGCGCCUCUUCGGCAAGAAGUCUGCCGCUCGGAAAACGCAGUCAACCGAUUCCAGAUGAAGUUGGCGAAGUCGAUCUAUGACACGGUCGAUUAGGAUACAUGUUGGAGUCGUCGUCGUUCAUGGAGGUUGUCAUCAAUGGCUUCAGCGACGAUGGAGUCGAG
rnacentral:lncRNA from 1 species